CGGCAGCAUAGAGAGCUUGCUCUCUGAUGGCGAGUGGCGAACGGGUGAGUAAUAUAUCGGAACGUGCCUAGUAAUGGGGAAUAACUAAUCGAAAGAUUAGCUAAUACCGCAUACGACCUACGGGUGAAAGCAGGGGAUCGCAAGACCUUGCGCUUUAGGAGCGGCCGAUGCCUGAUUAGCUUGUUGGUAAGGUAAAGGCUUACCAAGGCUUCGAUCAGUAGUUGGUCUGAGAGGACGACCAGCCACACUGGGACUGAGACACGGCCCAGACUCC
rnacentral:rRNA from 1 species